CCUGAACGCUGGCGGCGUGGCUAAGACAUGCAAGUCGCACGGAGCCGGGUAGCAAUACCCGGUUUAGUGGCGAACGGGUGAGUAAUGAAUCGCUAAUGUACCCCGGAUUCUGGGAUAGCCAGUCGAAAGGCUGGGUAAUACCAGAUGAUAUAACCGCUUCGCAUGAAGUGGUUCUCAAAGGAGCAAUCCGCUCUGGGAGCAGGCGAUUUCGUAUCAGCUGUUGGUGAGGUAACGGCUCACCAAGGCGACGACGCGUAGCCGGACUGAGAGGUUGGCCGGCCACAUUGGGACUGAGACACUGCCCAGACUCCUACGGGGGGCUGCAGUAACGAAUCUUCCGCAAUGCACGAAAGUGUGACGGA
rnacentral:rRNA from 1 species